AUUAUUUUGUUGUUUUUAAUUUUUAACGUCGGAAUCAGAAAGGAUGCUUACCUAAGAUUACAAAUGUUUAUCUAAAAUUAGAUGUGUUACAUCUGUAUGGGGUAACUGGAUGAGUUGGUUUUUAAAAGUUGUUAUAAAUAUUAUAGAACAAGUUCAAGUAAAGAAGGUCAUGAAGGUUGUUUUAACUGUCA